rnacentral:lncRNA from 1 species
CACCAGCAAUGGGUGGAUAAGGCGGACGGCAAGCACGCGUUUCCACCAUGUGGAACAUGCACCCAUCCUACUCCAAAGUCAUGGCAGAUGUCAGAGACUCUUACCUGCUGAUUCACUCCCAGAAGAGCGGUCACACAGCGCUCCAGAGAGCCACGGCAGUUGGCUGGAGUUAGCACCAGACACCCUCCUCUGCGCUAAGGUGUGCAGCUUUGAGCAGGACACUCAGAGGACGGAUCUGGGCUCCAACACUGCCCCAGGUCCCAGCUUAAAUAUCACCUCCUCGGAGAGGUCUUCCCUGAUUAUCAAGAACUUUUGAGCUAAAAGAGGCUGUGGAAUUCAUCUGUGGAAGCUGGGGACAGAGGACCAUGUUGGAACAGAAAUGCCCGUCAGUGGGGGAUGGCUAAGCAAGCUUGUGUCUCUGUGCUGUGAAAUACUACACAGUGGCUACGAGGAAGGAGAUUGCUCUCUCUGCUGACACAGCCAGAUCUCCGAGACCUACUGUUAAUGAAAAGCAAGCUGCAUAAAGAUAUUUGUGGAAUGAUACCGUCAUUUUUUGUAGAAAAAUACACACACACAUGUAAACAAAGACAGAGCAAGCGCUGGGGCUGCAUGAAACUGGCUCAGAUGCUGGCUCAGCAACUUGUCUGUGAUCCGGGGGAAGACUUGACCCUCGAUCUCAGCUUCUUCAUCACCAAAACAUCUUGCAGGUUUGUCGUAAAGACUGAACGUAAGCUCUUUGGACGUUAUCUCUGCUCCCACGUGUUGGUUUUCUUUCCCCUAUCUGAGUCUAAUGGCUUUUUCUUUAUUUUAUUUUAUUUUAUUUUUACAGAUGAGAAAACCAAAUACAAAGUAAUUAAGUCGCUUCCUCAAAGUGCCCCAGUUGGUUAAUGUGAGAGCCAGGGCUGUAUGUGGGGUCUCUUCUAUCACAAUCAAUUGGCAUUAAAUCCCUAGGGAGUGGGGUUACUGUGUUUGCUGUGGCUAUUUCUGCCAGUGAGUCCAUGUGGCAGGUGUGUUUGCAGAUGUGUGAUGGGGGCAGCGUUGGACCCACUGCACAGAGAAGGGCCAGGCAGGGAGGGUGGGUGGACCUGCAAGGUUCUGUCUGACUGUUCUCUGACGCUGCUGUCAAGGAAGCCUAGCAGCAGAUAUCAGGGACCGGCCGCAAGGGGCCCAUAGGUACCAGGCAAAGACAGCCAACAGCACAGGGAUGCGGGCAAAACGGGCUGCUGACAGUCUUUCUGGCUACCUAGAAUCUGCCUCUUCGUGUUUGGGUAAUCGCUCUGAUUUGUGAGGCAGAGAGUGCCACCCAUUGCACCACAGAAAAUGACAGACACUUCCCGGUUGCCGUUCCCAUGAGGAUGUUCAGAGAGCUGGGCUCCAGCAGUCAGAGGCACCGUCCUCAUCAGGCUCCACUCGCUCAGAGCUCCAGGGAUGGCUUCCAGGCCUAUGGGGAGUUACCCACCAGCGCUGUCAUCACUAAUUUCAACUAAAGCCCUGAGUUUGAAUUUUAACUGUCACAGACUCCAGGUGGGCUUAUGGCUGUUACUACUUUGUUGAGUGCAAACAAAGGGGAUUUUGUGUUCUGAAGCCAUCGCAUGGGAGCAAGACCUCAGCAGGCUGUGGGUCAGGGAGCUAUGCCAUGUGCUCCAUGCGUCCAGGGGACCAGCCCCGAGGGAACCAGGCCGUAGCUGGCUGCACCCCCACCCCAGGAAAGCGGGCACUUCCAGGGAACCUCCAGGGAAUGACUGGACCCCUGGUUAACUUUCUGGGAAGAAUUCAUGACUAAGUGGUAUUUUCAUCUUCCUCUCCUCCAGUUUUGGCCCUUUUUGUGUUUGUCCAUGGUGCCUGAAGACUCUGCUUUCUGGACUAAGGCCUGAGAAUUUACUUCAGUGUCUACGUGGGAGUCCAGGCUGGCCGUCUGCAUUUUUGUGAUGAAUGGGCAUCCUAACCACUGGAACAUUCUUGAACUGAGUUGCUUCUUUCCAUCUUGCAGACAGAAGGACAAACAUCUCUCCUACUCUUCUGAGGCAACGCUUCAGAUCCGCUCAGCCUCACCACCUCUUGUCUCAGCACCAGCAGUUCCGGAUGGCUCCUGCUGUCAGCGCCUCCCCUCGAGCUGCAGCUCGUGCCUCUCAUCUCCCACCCAGGGGGGUGUUGAUGCCAGACACAGAGGCCCAGGACGCUGCUGUGGCUCACACAGGGAACACUGAAGUGAGGCGGGGAGUUAACGCCCCACGAGGAGACUUUCGACAGAAGGAGACAGUUAGUGGAUAGAUUCUUCUUCCUUUCUCCCUGCAGGUGGACAGUUUUGAGAUGCGGCUUUGUGACUUCCUGGAGAAUGAUCCUGUCCACUUGAACAAUCAGUCUGACGUGGCAGCUGCCAACCCCCCGUGUCUCCUAUUGGCUCCUCCUUUGCUGCUUCGCGUCCGUGUCCCUCACAGCUGGAAAUGCGUUCCUAAUCAGGUGGAAGUACCAUAGCUCCUUGCCUCAGGCUCUGCUUUCUCAGUAGCCCAGGCUAAGAGAACACCACAGAAUUCACAGACAAAACCAUGCCAAUUUCAGCAUCAUUAGUAGCUUUUCGUCAUGUAGGAAUCCUUCCUGGCGUCUCACUCGGUUGUAUCCUAAAUGUGUGACAUUGGGAAAGUCACCUAAUCUCUCUGAGCCUCAUAUUCUUCAGGGUAAUGUGGCGAUAACAAUAAUGCGCGUCUCAUGAAGAGUUGGAGGAAUUGAGAGAAACUUGAUACGGGCCGGUGCUUGUCAUGUAGUGAACGCUCAGUGUCAGCUGCCGUUGUUAUCAUUAUGAAAAUCAGUCCUAUUGGCAACAUGACGGAGCUCUAGGGGAGACAGCAAAAGGAAAGGGCGUCCACUUACAGGUACUUUAGGGAGGUUGGAAAGGUGUGCCUGCACACCUGUGAGCACGUGUUCACGUUACACAAUAAGGCCUCGAGGGUCCAUUCCAUCAUCCAAAGAAGGCCGGAUUUAGAAAUGGAACCUAGACCCCUUCUGGAGUCAGACUUCCACGCCACGGUGAAAGGAUCCUGCUGAGCGGUCGAGCAUUUUGAAGGGCUGUGUAGGUUUAAACUGAAUCAGGACCACAGUGGUCCCAGGUUUUGACAUUUCCUUCUGUGGCUUCCCGCUCAGCGUGCUGGCACGGCCGAGGGACGCCCGGCCUCUCUCCGUGAUCCUGAGCUGUGCCUGGGCUCCGCACAGGAGAUGGCCUGCCUCUCACAGCUGGCCGUCCUUUGAUCCCAGAGUUUCAAUUGUGUUAUGUUUGGCUUUUGCUUGCUGAUGAAGAGAUGUAUAUGGAUUUCAUUUUCUUUAGUCUCUGGCUGCCAAAGAUCUUGGUGUUUGUAAUAUUCGUGGGCAACUAGAUCAACUACAACCACGUUUUUGCUGGGCGGUUUUCACGGUAGCGGGAAGUCAGAAGUGAUGCGUAGGCUCCUAAAUCUUGGGCUUUGUUUAACAUGUAAUUUUUAUGGCCAGUGAGACUGAGUAAGGUCCUAAUAUUUCAGAACUUCAUAUAGGAGGCAAGCCAGAAUGAAAAAUGACACUGUCCGCCAGCCAAACCCAGCCACUGCAUAACGCAUCUUCUCAGAAAAUCAUCCUGACCCUCCUCCAAGCUCACUUUUGUCCUCCAGGUUCGGAAUCCUUGUUAAAUGAACUUCUGGGGCUUAUUUUUCUUUGGUAGUGCAGCAAAUAUAAAAUGUCCUCCACACUACCCACAAACAUGCAGACCAGAUGUCGAUCCCUCAGGACCCUAACUGGUGUUUUCUCCCUGAUGACCGCUUAGCCCGCUAGAGAACGGAAAACGAAAAUCCAAGUUUUACUCUAAGUAUGGAACCUCAGCCCGGUCCUAGCAUUUCGAGUCUCUUUGGGUAACUCAGUCCCUGCUCAGAAACUGCAGUGAAUGUUUCCAAUCCCCUUUUGCUCUGCUCAGAGACGGCGUCUGGGUGGGGUGAGUAAUAUAGCUGUGGUUUGGGUGGCAAGGUGGGGUCCUCAAAUCUAUGCUGGUCUCAGAAUCCCUCUGGUUGCAGAUGCACAGCAGCUGGAAGCAGAUGCUCGCUAGAUGGCCUUGGGCCGCACGCAGACUCCUGCAGCAGACGUCAGGAUCUCUGCCCAGGAGCCAGUCCGGGAGGGAUGUGCUGCCUCGGCAGCUGAGAAUGGUCAGCAGACAGUCUCUGGCCCACAGCUCCUCCAGGAUCUGCUUCAGCUGCAGAAAGACAUCUUACCAAGGUCCCAGGCUUCCCAGGGCAGCCCCUCUCCGGCCCUGAUGGAGGCGGGGGGGAAAGACCUGGCCAGCGCGGUGGGUCGCAGCACAACACAGGUGGCCAGUCUCCCUCCAGAGUCCCCUGGGGGGCCGAGGCUUUGCUGGGUCUCAUCACAAUCUCAUCAACUCCUCCCCUGGCCCAAUCCCACUUCCUCCCCCAUUCUUCACAGAUAUGGAUUCCUAAUAAGCAUCUCGCACCCCAAACUCUGUCUCAGCAUCUACUUCCAGAGCAGCCAACUCACAGAGCUCAUCUCUUCUCCCGUCUUCUGCUGUGACAUCCACGCCGUCACUGUGCGACGUGGGAGUGGACUCUGCAGGCUCUUCCCGAUGGCCCCCGGUCUCUGUGCACAGCGGAUACAUGGCACCCGCCGCAUGCUCCGGGCCUCCCGUCCUGUGGGAUACUUCUAACGACAGUCCUGAAGCUCUGCUUGGAGCCUGGUCCUUACGGGAGGCAAGAUGUAUGCAGGAGCCGCACUCCAUCCUGUCCCAUGUCUACCUGCUCUACCCGGGGACCAUCCACCUGGGGGCAGAAGGGAAUACCCUCUAUUUCGCUGCAGUCCCGUCACCAUCUGACCCGUGGCUUGAUCUCUGUGGUCUCUGCCUGGAUGUCUCAGGAAAAGCUUCAGCCUUUCAGAGUUCUGCUCUUUCCCUGCCCCUCCCAGCUGGCACUAAAAGAAGGGGCGGGGAGGUCCCCGGACCACCCUCCAGUGUGGGCUCCCCGCUGAUGGGCCAUGCGGUUGCUGGCCUGGAUUGCUCCCUGGCCCUGUGGUCACUGAGGUGCAGCUGGAACGGUCACAGUUUGUGAGGACACGCGUCAGCACCCACUCCUGGAACCUGCUUCCCGUCACCAGUUUCUGGGGUGGGAGACCCUGCGCUGCUCUCUGACCCCGGGCCUCGGCCGCUCUCUGGCCUCGUUGGUGCCCUGCUUACUCUUCCGCAUGUGUCUGCCGCCUUGAGCACCAGGAACCCGGGUGUGGCCAAGGCACAUGGACCUGGCCUUCUCGUGCCACCGCCACCUCCGUGCCCUGUGUCCCCACACCACCCAGGUGUGACAAUUAGCCCCAAACUGGGCCCCUCCCAGAGGCCUGCAGCCUCCCCCAUCACACCCAGACCAAGGAUGCUGGCCACGAACCCUGCUGUUUUCAAUGCUUCCUGCUCUAGGUGUUUCUGAAAGUACUUCCUCCCACCGGCUCUCUCGAGGUGCCUCCAUGCUCCCAGUCCUGGGAGAAAAGGCAACCCGCUGACCGCCUGCCUCCCUGUGCUGUGCGUCCUCCUGUAAUCCCGACUUCCUCCACGACCCGUCCCAAGUCCCGUCCAGACAGACAGACAGCGAGAGACUUCAGAGAAGUGUCCCCCUUUUGCAAAGGAAGGAAUUUACAUUCCAGACAUUCAGGCCUGAUUCUCUGCACACGAAUAAAGCUAAAAGAAAUGAAAAACCACUUAUUUCUCAGCAAAACUUGGCUUUUGAGAUUAUCUUGUUUCAAUCUCAAACAAAUAGAUAAGCAACAGUCUCCUGUGCUAACAGACAGGGACCCUUCUCUGAAGCACUUGGGCCCUAUUCCUCACAGUGUGAGACGUUGCCAGUUAAUAAGAUUUAUGAGACAUGGAAAUGUAUCUGAACAUAAUUCAAAGGAAUGUUGUACCUGUUGUAUAACAAGAAGAAUAAAUUUGACAGCAAUUCCCUCUGCCGUAGUGAGUGUACUUUGUAUAUAUUAUCUCAUUUAAUUUUCAUCAUAACCCUGUGGGAAAAGUAUUAUUAUCCCAAUUUUGGAAAUGAUACAUGAGGCCCAGGAGAGCAAACUGCCUUGCCUGAGGUCACGUGACUAACAAGAGGUGGACCAGGUUCCGUCUGUCUGACUCCAAGCCCCUUGCUCUGACCACUGUGGUUGCUCCGUCUGAAAAGAGUUGGCUACAAAACAAGAUUUUGAGGAUGCAGAGCUCUCAUUUGGUGACGACUUUUCUGGCUCUGUGCUUGAGAACCAAACUCUGAGGCGGCUGUGUGGCUCUGCUUCCUCAUCCGUCCAGUGGAG